rnacentral:SRP_RNA from 1 species
GCCAGGUGUGGUGGUGCACGCCUGUAAUCCUAGCUACUUGGGAGGCUGAGGCAGGAGAAUUGCUUGAGCCCGGGGAGGUGGAGGUUGCAGUGAGCUGAGAUCGUGCCACUGCACUCCAGCCUGGGUGACAGAGGGAGACCCUGUCUCAA